GACGAACCGUGCAAACGUUGUUCGGAAUCAUUGGGCUUAAAGGGCGCGUAGGCGGGCAAGAAAGUCGAAGGUGAAAGCCCACGGCUCAACCGUGGAAGUGCCUCCGAUACUUCUUGUCUCGAGCGAGAUAGGGGCGUGCGGAACUUCCGGUGGAGCGGUGAAAUGCGUAGAUAUCGGAAGGAACACCGGUGGCGAAAGCGGCGCGCUGGAUCUCUACUGACGCUGAGGCGCGAAAGCCAGGGGAGCAAACGGG
rnacentral:rRNA from 1 species